GAAUAUGCAAAGUGAUUCCCAAAUGCUGAGGGAGCCGAGGAACCAAAGAAGGAGGCAGACAGAUCCAUUGUGUUGACUUUGGGUGAUUCAUUGAAGGAACUUACAGACACAAGUGUGGUCUUAGGUGGUGGCAGGACAGGUAGCUCUCUGCACUGUUACUCCCCACACCAGGGCUACGCAUAUACCAUAGGGAAAGGGUAUGCUUGCUCCAGCAAGCCAAUUAAAGGCAACCCUUCAGGACAGGCAAGAAUGCUGAAUGUAUCAUAGCCUAUAAUUUGUGUGAUGACAUCAAGGUCAACAUGUUCUUACACUAGGAACAGUGAAGUAGGAAUCAGGAGGCAUUCAUGGGACUGGGGUUAAUCAGAAGUCAACGUGGUGGAUUAGCAUCCAAAAUAACCAGAAAAAAUUAACCACUGCAGAAGAGACUAAAAGUUGUCACCAUGCUCGGGCUUUUCAUCUAUUUUGCCGAGAGUAAUUCUGAGAGAUUACCUAAAAGACUUAAUCUGCAUAAUAAGACUACCUUUGUUUGCAGUGCAGUUCUGCCCCUCACCUUCCCAUAACUUGUCCCAUUCAGUUUCUAAAGAAAAUAAUUUACAAACUAUUGUCUGCUUUUUUUUUUUAACUUUCAUUUUAGUUCCAGGAGUACAUGUGGAGGUUUGUUACAUGGGUAAAUUGCAUGUCACAGGGGUUUGGUGUACAGAUUAUCAUUCAGGUAAUAAGCAUAGUACCCAAUAGUUUUUUUUAUCUUCACUCUCCUCCCACCCUCCACCUCCAUGUAGGCCCCAAUGUCUGUUGGUCCCAUCUUUAUUUCCAUAUGUACCCAAUGUUUAGCUCCCACUUAUAUGUGAGAACAUAUGGUGUUUGGUUUUCUGUUCCUGCAUUAGUUCACUUAGGAUAAUGGCUUCUAGCUGUAUCCAUGUUGCUGCAAAGGACACAAUCUCAUUCGUUUUUAUAACUGUGUAGUAUUCUGUGAUGUAUAUGGCACCACAUUUUCUUUAUCCACCAUUGACGGACAUUUUUUGAUUCCAUUUUUGCUAUUGUGAUAGUGCUUUCCACAGUGACUGAACUAAUUUACUUUCCCACCAGCAAUGUGUAAGCAUUCCCUUUUCUCCACAAACUCGCCAGCAUCUGUUAUUUUUUGACUUUUUAGUAAUAGCCAUUCUGACUGGUUUCAGAUGGUAUCUCAUUGUGGUUUGCUCUUUGGGUCCAUUCAAUUCCCCUAAAAAUCAUUUACAAUCCUUCAAGUUGCCUACAUUUCCCCCAUCUCCCUCUAUGUAAGUUUCAAUCAUUUGGCCUUUCUUUGAGUCUCAUAUUUUUGGAACUCCUGUGUUCAUGUGCAUGUUAAUAAAUUUGAAUAUGCCUUUUCUCCUGUUCAUCUGUCUAUUGCCAGUUCAUUUCAGGGAUCCUUCAGAGGGUAGAGAGGAAGCUUGUCCUUCACUCCUACAAUAGUGUCACUAUCCACUACUGGCUCAAGCUAAAAACCUAGGUGCCACCUUGUGUCCCCCUUUCCUUCUCCAUCAUCACCAAGUGCUGCUGGCCCUCAAAAUGAGGAAGGUCUCCAUUACAUUUGCCCUAAUUUUUUUUUUUUUUUUUUUUUUUUGAGAGAGAGUCUCGCUCUGUCGCCUAGGCUGGAGUACAGUGGUGCGAUCUCAGAUCACUGCAAUCUCCACCUCCCAGGUUCAAGUGAUUUGCCUGCUUCAGCCUCCUGAGUAGCUGGAAUUACAGGUGCCCGCCAUCACACCCAGCUAAUUUUUGUAUUUUUAGUAGAGACGGGGUUUCACCAUGUUGGCCAGGCUGGUCUUGAACUCCUGACCCCAAGUGAUCCUUGGCCGCCCAAAGUGCUGGGAUUACAGGCAUGAGCCACUGUGCUCAGCCUAGUGUAAGUUUUAAGUCACAAUUAUCCUCUCUGCUCUUGGGCCUCCAUAGACCUCCCAACUAGCCUUCCUGCUUUAAAUCCAUUGGCCAUGGAGUGAUCUUUAAAAACCCAAGUCUGAUCACGUCACUCUCCCAUGUAAGAUUCUUCAUUGUCUUUCCUUUGCUCUUUGGCAUAAACCAGUGGUCCUCAACCUUUUUGGCACCAGGGACAAGUUUUGUGGAAGACAAUUUUUCCAUGGAUGAGGCGUGGGUAGGGGGGUGGUUUCAGGAUGAUUCAAGUGCAUUCCAUUUAUCGUGCAGCUUAUUUCUAUUAUGAUUACAUUGUAAUACAUAAUGAAAUAAUUACACAACUUACCAUAAUGUAGAAUCAGUGGGAGCCCUGAGCUUGUUUUCCUACAACUAGACAAUCCCAACUGGGGGUGACGGGAGACAGUGACAGAUCAUCAGGCAUUAGAUUCUCAUAAGGAUCAUGCAACCUAGAUCCCUUGCAUGUGCAGUUCACAUGAGGGUUCAUGUUCCUAUGAGAAUCUAAUGCCACUGCUGAUCUGACAGGAGGUGAAGCUCAGGCAGCAAUGCUUGCUCACCUGCUGCUCACCUCCUGCUGUAUGGCCUGGUUCCUAACAGGCCAAGGACCGGUACUGGUUGGGGACCCCUGGUGUAAACUCACUCCAUGAGGUCCUGCAUGAUGAGGCCCAGCCAUGCUGACAUCAUUUUUUUCCCUUAAACACAUUAAGCUUCUUCCCAUCUCUGGGCCUUUGGGAUACUGUGCCCUCUGCUAGGAACACCCUCCCUGUGUGCUUGGCAUGGUGACAACUCAUGUUUUGGUUCAAAUAGAAGAAAUCUCUGAUUGCUGUGGCUAAAGCAUGCUCUCCCAAUUACUUACCACCCUUUUACUUAUCUUCAGCGGAGUUGGUCUAAUAUUUUGUUUACUUGUUGUAGCAAGGUGGACUACUAAGGACCCUAGUAAGGACUCUUAAGGCAGAGCCCAUGGUCCCCUCUGUGGUUUACCUGCCCUUGGGUGAUCCCCUCCUCAUGAGAGUGGGUGGUGGUUUCUGGGACUCGUUUCUAACCAGCAGAACACAGAUAAAGUGAUCCAGUGUUCAUGAUUGUGCAUGCAUGAUUACGUUCCCUAAGAAUGUAACGUCUAUCUUGCUGAGAGGCUCUCCCUUGAUGGCUUUGAAGAAGCCAUUGACCACACUGAACUGUCAUGGGGAGGGGAAUAUGCAGCAAGGAAUGGAGGGCUUAAGUCGUGUUGCCAGCUGGAUGCUGCCAACAACCAUGUGAGCUUGGAAUGUGGUCCUUCCCCAGUCAGACCCCAAAUGAGAACACAGCCCUGAUGACACUGUGAUCACAGGCUUACAAAAGAUCUAGCCAAGCCAUGCCUGGACCCCUAACACAUGAAGAAUGUGAGAUAAGAAAUGCCUGUUCUUUUAAGCCAAUAGUUGCUGGUAAACUGUUACAUAGCAACAGAUAUGCUUGCUCACUCACUCUUGCAUUAGAAAGAAAACUUCAGAAGGGAGACCAUUGCAUUCUUCAUUAUUAAAGCUGCAGAACCCAGCUGGGUAGAUAGCAUAGAGAGAUAAUAUCAGACAGUUGUAUGAAUGAAGGAAACAUCCAAUAAACAGUAACUGUUAAUAUUAAUAGUUAUAUUAAUAGUGGGCUGAUCUAUCGCCUCCCCUGUUUCUUGAAUGGCCACCAUCCCAGCCCUGUCCCAUCUGCAUAUCCCAUCCUCCUAGCCACCAUGAUUGGUCUGGGGUCGCUCACAUGACCCAAGUCUAUCCAAUCAGAGCCAAACCCAGAAUAUUUGUAUAUACUGUUGGAAAAAAGCAGUUUUCUUGCCCAGGAUGGAGCUCCUGGGACCUCCGAAAGGGGUGGCGGGCCUGCCUGCAAAAGCAGCUCACACUGAGGAAAGCUAUACUGAGAGAUGAGGGGUGAGAGAUGCUUAAUGACACCACCUGAGCCCCUGGAAUCAGCAGCACCUCAAGAUCUACCCCUUGGCUUUUUGGUUGAGUGAAACUAAUCCUUCUCCCUACCACCCCUCUUUUUAAAGUAAUGUGGAAUUGGGUGUCUAUUGCGAGCAACUAAAAAAAUCCCUAUUACCCAGCACCAGUCAUGAAAUCGACAGAGGAAUAGGCAGGUCUGAUGUAUGGAGCAGAAGGGAAAAAGAGUAAAGAAAAAAAGCCCACCCAAAUAAAUAUUUAAUGAAAUGCCACGCAAAUAAACCACUCAGUAAUUCCACUGGGAAAUCCCAUAGGAAGUUUUAUUUUUACUUACUAGUCCUUUAGCAUUUUUAUUUUAAGAAAUGG
rnacentral:lncRNA from 10 species